CCUACGGGUGGCAGCAGUGGGGAAUAUUGGGCAAUGGGCGCAAGCCUGACCCAGCAACGCCGCGUGAAGGAAGAAGGCUUUCGGGUUGUAAACUUCUUUUCUCAGGGACGAAGCAAGUGACGGUACCUGAGGAAUAAGCCACGGCUAACUACGUGCCAGCAGCCGCGGUAAUCCGUAGGUGGCAAGCGUUAUCCGGAUUUACUGGGUGUAAAGGGCGUGUAGGCGGGAAGGCAAGUCAGAUGUGAAAACCAUGGGCUCAACCUGUGGACUGCAUUUGAUACUGUUUUUCUUGAGUACAGGAGAGGCAGGCGGAAUUCUUAGUGUAGCGGUGAAAUGUGUAGAUAUUAGGAGGAACACCAGUGGCGAAGGCGGUCUGCUGGACAGCAACUGACGCUGAGGCGCGAAAGCGUGGGGAGCAAACAGGAUUAGAUACCCUAGUAGUC
rnacentral:rRNA from 1 species